rnacentral:rRNA from 1 species
UACGGAGGGUGCAAGCGUUGUUCGGAAUUAUUGGGCGUAAAGGGCAAGUAGGUGGUCUUGUAAGUCUACUGUGAAAUCCCUGGGCUUAACCCAGGAAGUGCGGUGGAUACUGCAAGACUAGAGUGCUGGAGGGGUACGUGGGAAUUCCCGGUGUAGCGGUGAAAUCGCGUAGAUAUCAGGAAGAACACCUAUGGCGAAGGCAGCUCUCUGGGGACGGUACUGACGCUGAGACGCGAAAGCGUGGGGAGCGAACAGG